GUGCCAGCAGCCGCGGUAAUACAGAGGGUGCAAACGUUGCUCGGAAUUACUGGGCGUAAAGCGCGUGUAGGCGGCUUCAUAAGUCCGACGUGAAAGCCCGGGGCUCAACCCCGGAAGUGCGCUGGAUACUGUGUAGCUAGAGUCCUGAAGAGGAGAGCGGAAUUCCUGGUGUAGAGGUGAAAUUCGUAGAUAUCAGGAGGAACACCUGUGGCGAAGGCGGCUCUCUGGGCAGGUACUGACGCUGAGACGCGAAAGCGUGGGGAGCAAACAGGAUUAGAUACCCUGGUAGUCCACGCUGUAAACGAUGAGAACUAGCCGUUGUGGGUAUUGACCCCCGCAGUGGCGAAGCCAACGCGUUAAGUUCUCCGCCUGGGAAGUACGGCCGCAAGGCUAAA
rnacentral:rRNA from 1 species